rnacentral:rRNA from 1 species
GAUGAACGCUGGCGGCGUGCCUAAUACAUGCAAGUCGAGCGAACAGACGAAGAACUUGCUCCUCUUACGUUAGCGGCGGACGGGUGAGUAACACGUGGAUAACCUACCUAUAAGACUGGGAUAACUUCGUGAAACCGGAGCCAAUACCGGCUAAUAUAUUGAACCGCAUGGUUCAAUAGUGAAAGACGGUUUUGCUGUCACUUAUAGAUGGAUCCGCUCCGCAUUAGCUAGUUGGUAAGGUAACGGCUUACCAAGGCAACGAUGCGUAGCCGACCUGAGAGGGUGAUCGGCCACACUGGAACUGAGACACGGUCCAGACUCCUACGGGAGGCAGCAGUAGGGAAUCUUCCGCAAUGGGCGAAAGCCUGACGGAGCAACGCCGCGUGAGUGAAGAAGGUCCUCGGAUUGUAAAGCUCUGUUAGUAGGGAAGAACAAAUGUGUAAGUAACUAUGCACGUAUUGACGGUACCUGAAGAGAAAGCCACGGCUAACUACGUG